UGGGGAAUAUUGCGCAAUGGGCGGAAGCCUGACGCAGCGACGCCGCGUGAGGGAUGAAGGUCUUCGGAUUGUAAACCUCUUUCAGUAGGGACGAAUAGAAGACGGUACCUGCAGAAGAAGCACCGGCCAACUACGUGCCAGCAGCCGCGGUAAUACGUAGGGUGCGAGCGUUGUCCGGAAUUAUUGGGCGUAAAGAGCUCGUAGGCGGUUCGUCGCGUCGAAUGUGAAAUCCCGGGGCUCAACUCCGGGUCUGCAUUCGAUACGGGCGGACUAGAGUUCGGUAGGGGAGACUGGAAUUCCUGGUGUAGCGGUGAAAUGCGCAGAUAUCAGGAGGAACACCGGUGGCGAAGGCGGGUCUCUGGGCCGAUACUGACGCUGAGGAGCGAAAGCGUGGGGAGCGAACAGG
rnacentral:rRNA from 1 species